rnacentral:rRNA from 1 species
AGUUUUAUGAAAUAAAUUAUAUAAAAUAUUUUCUGCCCAAUGUAAAAAAAUAAAUGGCCGCAGUACUUUGACUGUGCUAAGGUAGCAUAAUCAAUUGGCUUUUAAUUAAAGUCUAGAAUGAAAGGGAGAUUGGAAUUUAACUGUCUUAAAAAUUUUUUAAAAAAAUUAUUAAAAAGGUGAAAAUACCUUAAAAAUAAAUUAAAGACGAGAAGACCCUAUGAAUUUUUAUCUUUUUUUGUUGGGGCGACAAUUUAAAAAAGAGAUCUUAAAUUUUCUUUAAUAAAACGAAAGUGUUAAUUAAAAAAAAAUUACCUUAGGGAUAACAGCAUUAUUAAAAAUUUAGUUUGUGACCUCGAUGUUGGACUAGGAACUAAUAGGCUAACCGUCUUAAUAGAUUUGUUCUGUUCGAACAAUUAAAUCCU